UCCUAAGGUCAUGACACCCUGAACAAAUCAGAUCCCAUCUGAUCUCAAGCUAAUCAGGGUUGGGCCUGGUUAGCAUUUAGAUGGGAAACCACCUAAAAACGACCAGGUGCUGUAGGCG
rnacentral:rRNA from 1 species